rnacentral:rRNA from 1 species
AGUGGCGGACGGGUGAGUAACGCGUAAGAAUCUAACUUCAGGACGGGGACAACAGUGGGAAACGACUGCUAAUACCCGAUGUGCCGCGAGGUGAAACCUAAUUGGCCUGAAGAGGAGCUUGCGUCUGAUUAGCUAGUUGGUGGGGUAAGAGCCUACCAAGGCGACGAUCAGUAGCUGGUCUGAGAGGAUGAGCAGCCACACUGGGACUGAGACACGGCCCAGACUCCUACGGGAGGCAGCAGUGGGGAAUUUUCCGCAAUGGGCGAAAGCCUGACGGAGCAACGCCGCGUGAGGGAGGAAGGUCUUUGGAUUGUAAACCUCUUUUCUCAAGGAAGAAGUUCUGACGGUACCUGAGGAAUCAGCCUCGGCUAACUCCGUGCCAGCAGCCGCGGUAAUACGGGGGAGGCAAGCGUUAUCCGGAAUUAUUGGGCGUAAAGCGUCCGCAGGUGGUCAGCCAAGUCUGCCGUCAAAUCAGGUUGCUUAACGACCUAAAGGCGGUGGAAACUGGCAGACUAGAGAGCAGUAGGGGUAGCAGGAAUUCCCAGUGUAGCGGUGAAAUGCGUAGAGAUUGGGAAGAACAUCGGUGGCGAAAGCGUGCUACUGGGCUGUAUCUGACACUCAGGGACGAAAGCUAGGGGAGCGAAAGGGAUUAGAUACCCCUGUAGUCCUAGCCGUAAACGAUGGAUACUAGGCGUGGCUU